AACGAACGCUGGCGGCAUGCCUAACACAUGCAAGUCGAACGAACCUUUCGGGGUUAGUGGCGCACGGGUGCGUAACGCGUGGGAAUCUGCCCUUAGGUACGGAAUAACUCAGGGAAACUUGUGCUAAUACCGUAUGAUGUCUUCGGACCAAAGAUUUAUCGCCUAGGGAUGAGCCCGCGUUGGAUUAGCUAGUUGGUGGGGUAAAGGCCUACCAAGGCGACGAUCCAUAGCUGGUCUGAGAGGAUGAUCAGCCACACUGGGACUGAGACACGGCCCAGACCCCUACGGGAGGCAGCAGUGGGGAAUAUUGGACAAUGGGCGCAAGCCUGAUCCAGCAAUGCCGCGUGAGUGAUGAAGGCCUUAGGGUUGUAAAGCUCUUUUACCCGGGAAGAUAAUGACUGUACCGGGAGAAUAAGCCCCGGCUAACUCCGUGCCAGCAGCCGCGGUAAUACGGAGGGGGCUAGCGUUGUUCGGAAUUACUGGGCGUAAAGCGUACGUAGGCGGCUUUGUAAGUUAGAGGUGAAAGCCCGGGGCUCAACCCCGGAAUUGCCUUUAAGACUGCAUCGCUUGAACGUCGGAGAGGUGAGUGGAAUUCCGAGUGUAGAGGUGAAAUUCGUAGAUAUUCGGAAGAACACCAGUGGCGAAGGCGGCUCACUGGACGACUGUUGACGCUGAGGUACGAAAGCGUGGGGAGCAAACAGGAUUAGAUACCCUGGUAGUCCACGCCGUAAACGAUGAUAACUAGCUGUCCGGGCACUUGGUGCUUGGGUGGCGCAGCUAACGCAUUAAGUUAUC
rnacentral:rRNA from 1 species